rnacentral:rRNA from 1 species
GCACCACAAGGGGUGAAGCUUGCGGUUUAAUUGGAGUCAACGCCGGAAAUCUCACCGGGAGCGACAGCAGAAUGAAGGCCAGAUUAAAGGUCUUGCCAGACAAGCUGAGAGGAGGUGCAUGGCCGUCGCCAGUUCGUGCCGUGAGGUGUCCUGUUAAGUCAGGCAACGAUCGAGACCCGCAUCCUCUGUUGCAACUAGCUUUGAGCUGGGCACACUGAGGAGACCGCCACUGAUAAAGUGGAGGAAGGAGCGGGCCACGGCAGGUCAGUAUGCCCCGAAUCUCCCGGGCCACACGCGAGCUGCAAUGGCAGGUACAAUGAGUUCCGACCUCGAAAGGGGAAGGCAAUCCCGAAAGCCUGCCGUAGUUGGGAUCGAGGGUUGUAACCCAUCCUCGUGAACAUGGAAUCCCUAGUAAUCGCGUGUCAUUAGCGCGCGGUGAAUACGUCCCUGCUCCUUGCACACACCGCCCGUCGUUCCACCCGAGCGACUCUUGGGUGAGGCGCCGUCCUUAGUGGCGGCAUCGAAUCUAAGUUUCGUGAGGGGGGAA